rnacentral:rRNA from 13 species
GUUAAGUGACUAAGCGUAUACGGUGGAUGCCUAGGCAGUUAGAGGCGAUGAAGGACGUGUAAGUCUGCGAAAAGCUGUGGUGAGCUGACAAAAAGCAUUUGAGCCACAGAUGUCCGAAUGGGGAAACCCACCGCUUCGGCGGUAUCAUUAAGUGAAUACAUAGCUUAAUGAGGCAAACGAGGGGAACUGAAACAUCUAAGUACCCUUAGGAAAAGAAAUCAACCGAGAUUCCCCAAGUAGCGGCGAGCGAACGGGGAGCAGCCGAGUAAUUAUGAAGUAGUGGAAUGUGUUGGAAAGCACAGCGAUACAGGGUGAUAGCCCCGUACACGAAGGUUCAUAGUUGCCAUAUUAAGUAGGUCGGGACACGUGUUAUCUUGACUGAAGAUGGGGGGACCAUCCUCCAAGGCUAAAUACUCCUAACUGACCGAUAGUGAACUAGUACCGUGAGGGAAAGGCGAAAAGAACCCCUGUGAGGGGAGUGAAAUAGAACCUGAAACCGUAUACGUACAAGCAGUAGGAGCAGACUUGUUCUGUGACUGCGUACCUUUUGUAUAAUGGGUCAGCGACUUAUAUUUAGUAGCAAGGUUAACCGUAUAGGGGAGCCGUAGCGAAAGCGAGUGUUAACUGCGCGUUUAGUUGCUAGGUAUAGACCCGAAACCCGGUGAUCUAGCCAUGGGCAGGUUGAAGGUUGAGUAACAUCAACUGGAGGACCGAACCGACUAACGUUGAAAAGUUAGCGGAUGACUUGUGGCUGGGGGUGAAAGGCCAAUCAAACCGGGAGAUAGCUGGUUCUCCCCGAAAUCUAUUUAGGUAGAGCCUCGGACGAACACCAUUGGGGGUAGAGCACUGUUAAGGCUAGGGGGUCAUCCCGACUUACCAACCCUUUGCAAACUCCGAAUACCGAUGAGUGCUAUCCGGGAGACACACGGCGGGUGCUAACGUCCGUCGUGAAGAGGGAAACAACCCAGACCGCCAGCUAAGGUCCCAAAAUAUUGCUAAGUGGGAAACGAAGUGGGAAGGCUAAGACAGCUAGGAGGUUGGCUUAGAAGCAGCCAUCCUUUAAAGAAAGCGUAAUAGCUCACUAGUCGAGUCGGCCUGCGCGGAAGAUGUAACGGGGCUAAGCAAUAUACCGAAGCUGCGGAUUUGAACUUAGGUUCAAGUGGUAGGGGAGCGUUGUGUAAGUGGCUGAAGGUGAACCGGGAGGUUUGCUGGACAUAUCACAAGUGCGAAUGCUGACAUGAGAAACGAUAAGGGGGGUAAAAACCCCCCACGCCGGAAGACCAAGGUUUCCUAUCCCAUGCUAAUCAGGGUAGGGUAAGUCGGCCCCUAAGGCGAGGCGGAAACGCGUAGUCGAUGGGAAACGGAUUAAUAUUUCCGUACUUGUUAUAUCAGUGAAGGGGGGACGGAGAAGGUUAUGCUAGCUUGGCGAUGGUUGUCCAAGUGAAAGUGCGUAGGGUUGAAUUUUAGGAAAAUCCGGAAUUCUACAUGCCUGAGACACGAGACGAGACACUAAGGUGUUGAAGUAGCAAAUACCAUGCUUCCAGGAAAAGCCUCUAAACUUAUGAUAUAGCGAACCGUACCCCAAACCGACACAGGUGGUCAGGUAGAGAAUACUAAGGCGCUUGAGAGAACUCGGGUGAAGGAACUCGGCAAAAUUGUACCGUAACUUCGGGAGAAGGUACGCCCUUGUUUGUGAUGGAACUUGCUUCCUAAGCAGAUGAGGGCCGCAGUGACCAGGUGGCUGGGACUGUUUAUUAAAAACACAGCACUCUGCAAACACGAAAGUGGACGUAUACGGUGUGACGCCUGCCCGGUGCCGGAAGGUUAAUUGAUGGGGUUAGCAUUCGUGCGAAGCUCUUGAUCGAAGCCCCGGUAAACGGCGGCCGUAACAAUAACGGUCCUAAGGUAGCGAAAUUCCUUGUCGGGUAAGUUCCGACCUGCACGAAUGG